rnacentral:rRNA from 1 species
UACGUAGGCAGCGAGCGUUGUUCGGAGUUACUGGGCGUAAAGGGUGUGUAGGCGGUUGUUUAAGUUUGGUGUGAAAUCUCCCGGCUCAACUGGGAGGGUGCGCCGAAUACUGAAUGACUUCGAGUGCGGGAGAGGAGAGUGGAAUUCCUGGUGUAGCGGUAGAAAUGCGUAGAUAUCAGGAGGAACACCGGUGGUGUAGACGGCUCUCUGGACCGUAACUGACGCUGAGACACGAAAGCGUGGGUAGCAAACAGG